AAGUCGUAACAAGGUUUCCGUAGGUGAACCUGCGGAAGGAUCAUUAUUGAAUUAGUGAGGGCUGUCUGCUGGCCCCUUCGGGGGCAUGUGCACGUCCGAGCCGUUUAAAUCAACACCUGUGAACUCACCGUAGGCCUUCGGGCUUAUGUAUCAUAAUAUACUCAGAUCAUAGAAUGUACGUUUUGCCUUUAAAAAAGCAAUCAAAUACAACUUUCAACAACGGAUCUCUUGGCUCUC
rnacentral:misc_RNA from 1 species